GGAGGAAAAGAAACUAACAAGGAUUCCCCUAGUAACUGCGAGUGAAGCGGGAAAAGCUCAAAUUUAAAAUCUGACAGUUUCACUGUCCGAGUUGUAAUCUGGAGAAGCAUUUUCCGUGUCGGACCGUGUACAAGUCUCUUGGAAUAGAGCGUCAUAGAGGGUGAGAAUCCCGUCCAUGACACGGACUACCGAUGCUUUGUGAUAUGCUCUCGAAGAGUCGAGUUGUUUGGGAAUGCAGCUCAAAAUGGGUGGUAAAUUCCAUCUAAAGCUAAAUAUUGGCGAGAGACCGAUAGCGAACAAGUACCGUGAGGGAAAGAUGAAAAGCACUUUGGAAAGAGAGUUAAACAGUACGUGAAAUUGUUGAAAGGGAAACGCUUGAAGUCAGUCGCGUUGAUUGAGACUCAGCCUUGCUUUGCAUGGUGUACUUCUCAGUUAACGGGUCAACAUCAAUUUCAGUUGGUGGAUAAAGGCAUUGGGAAUGUGGCACCUUCGGGUGUGUUAUAGACCUUUGUUGCAUACACUGACCGGGAUUGAGGAACGCAGCACGCCACUAAGGCCAGGGGUUCGCCCCAUGUAACGUGCUUAGGAUGUUGGCAUAAUGGCUUUAAGCGACCCGUCUUGA
rnacentral:rRNA from 1 species